AACAUGUCUGGUUAACGGCAGUGCCUCUACAAAAACGAUGCUGUAAUUCAAACGAAAGCAUACUCGACUCCAAAAUCCUGAUCAAAUACAUCUAUUGCGAAUAUAACUAAUUUCUGUUCCUUUUCUGCUAACCGUGGUCAUGCGUUUGAAUCGUGUUUCCGACGGGAAUAAGGAGAUCACGCCGAAUUUUAAUUUAAUACCAACUGUUCCAGGUUUUGAAAUGACUACUGAUAUAUUAACCGGAGCAGAUUUAUUACGUGAUAAGAAUACAUGUGGAAAAUUUAGUAUCCUUGCCGAUGUUUUGCACAUACGAACAAGUCAAUUAUGCUUUGACAGUUUAGAUUACAAUUCAACAAUCAGUCCGUUUAAAUCGAAGUAAUGCACCAACACAUUCAAAACAGGAUGGUCGAGGCGGAGAGAAGAUACAAAGCUAGGUUUUUGAGAGGUCGAGCUACGAUUAAAAGAUUCCAGAAGGGAGAUAUUGUAAUAAUAAAAAUAUAA